GAGCGGUGAUACGAAGGCUACAAGCGUUAUCCGGAAUUAUUGGGCGUAAAGAGAUGCGUAGGCGAUCUUUUAAGUUAAAUGUCAAAUAUAUGGGCUCAACCCAUAUCCGCAUUUAAUACUGGAAGAAUAGAACAAUGUAGAGGCGGACGGAAUUCCUAGUGAAGCAGUAAAAUGCGUUGAUAUUAGGAGGAACACCAGAGGCGAAGGCGGUCCGCUGGGCAUUUGUUGACGCUAAGGCUCGAAAGCGUGG
rnacentral:rRNA from 1 species